UGAAAGUCAUAAGCAAUGUUUAGUUGCAGAAUAUUCUGUAUUUCUUUUCACUUGUCACUAAUUCAGCCUGAGCCUUCUUGCCCUAGUGCCGUCCUGUCCCCUCCCCAGGUUAGUCAAAUAAGUAAAUUUUGACUGUAGCUGCUCCCGUCUGCUUGGAAGCAGCAGUGCCUUUAAUCAUGAUUUGGGGUGAUUGCUUUUUUAGGUCACAACGUGUCUCCCACCUGUGGAGCCUCAGGCUCCAUCUCCUCAUCCCUCCCUGGUUGGCUCUAAGCCCCUCAGCCCACCUCCUGGCAGACAGUCGUUCAUCCUCUCUGCUGUCCCUAGGAGUUGGAGGCUGGGAAGAGUAGAGCAGCAGCCUUGGAGUCCCAUUUCCUUAUGGUUGACUUCAGUAGCUUCUGAAAUGGCCGCCCUCCCUCUCUUUGGGUCUGGCACCAAGACCCAGCAUCCUGUAAAUACUAACCCCGCCGGCUUAAAGUGUGAACACUAUCUGCUCAUCUGUGUCCCCGUGCCUGGGAGAAGGAAGAAAACAAGGUUAAGAACAAGGUUCUUCCUUGUACCUCUGGAUUUCAACUUUGUUUACAGUACGCGAUCCAAACUUGGCUUUUAAACGACCUAAGACUUGAUGGCUCAGUAACUCCUCCCGGUGGGGGCCCACAUGCCGGGGUCCCCUGAGAACUUUUCUCAAAAUCGCUACUCCAGAAUGAGCAUUUCCUUCUCUGGGACUCUUGGCCUUUGGGGCUACUUUUGGGGUUUGCUGGCAUCAGGUGUAAAGAGUGAAAAGGUAGCAUUAUCUAUUGGUGGUUCUUGCUCAGUUUUGCUCAUUUAGAUGGUUCCCAUGAAGGAUUGGAAAUGUUUGCCUAUCUGUGAAGAAGGGGUUUGCCAGGUAGGAGGGUCUGUAGCUGGUAGGAGGGAGCGGGAAUAUAUCAUCUCCUUAAGGAAAUAAAGUGUCUCCAAGAACUUUCAGGGCACCUGACUGCUUACAGAUGACGAUUAAUUUGGUAGACAACCUGAUUCUUUACCAUUCCUAGUAAACCUUACUUAGGUCAGCUGUUUCUGCUUGGAAGGUGACAAGACUCUUCCAUUGGAGGAGUGACUUUGUCACUAUUUUAGAAGGCUUCAGAAUUCUGGAAGUUAGAGGCUGUUGGAACUGGCAGUAAAUUGGAGACCAUCCAUCCUGCUCCUUCAUCUUACACGUGAGCUAAACUGAGGCCCAGGGACACAAAUUAAUUUGCCCACAGUCACAUCAUCUCCGAGAUGAGACCAGACGCCAGGUUUCAGCUUCCACUUUUCCAUAAUACAAGCUAACCACCACCGCUCUCCCAUCCCCAUCCCCAUUAGUUGGAGCGAAUCACAUAAACGUUCUUACGAGAGUGAGUAAGUUGGACUCUCAGGGUUUGUCGUCUGAGUCAAGAAUAUGUAAGUCUGAUUUUCUGAGGUAGCGUGGAACUUGGCCCCAGAUGUGUACAGAGAAAGAGCUUAAUCGAUGUUUAGUUGAAUGAGGUGGAAAUGGACGGAGAAUUCGUUGACUUUCCCUAGUCAAAAUUCCUAGGACUUUGAACCCACCAAGAAACAAAAAGUCUGAUGGCCUCUAGAUCUUAGACUCAUUUUAGUCAUUGAAGGUUACGCUAGCUCCCUGAGCCCAAAUCUUUUGUAGGAGUUGGAGCUGGGGCCAAAAGUAAGGUAGAGUUUAAAUCCAGCUCAGUUCUCUCUUGGAAGAUAGCAAAGUAAUGUCUAAAGCUGUCUCUUCUAUCCUGGUGGUUCUCAAACUUUUAUUCUUGGUAUCUUUACACAAUUAAAAAUUACUGAAGUUCUGUCCAAAGAAGUUUUGUUUAUGUGGGUUAUAUUUAUAGAUUUUACCAUAAUAGAAAUACAAACUAAUUUUGAAUUUGAAUGUCUGGACCCCACUUUGAGAACCCAGUCUAUCCCUUACUACUUCACCAGAAUAAGCAGAAUGGGAGGCUAGAUUUUCAUUAAUUAAUUUAGAUGUUGCCCCAGAGCCCCUACAAAAACAUCUAUUUAUUACAUUCCUACACCCAAGCCUAGAGAAUGGUGGAAUUAUGUUGUUAGGGUUUUGGGGGGCAGCAGGGAGCAAGGCUCACAGAAAUAGAUCCUCAAAUGAUAUAGACCAAAGGGAUCAGCAUCCUCUAAUUGCUAAGGUGAUGGUGAGUUAGUAUUUUGGAAAUCAGGUUUCCAGGAACUUCUCUGGGAACAGAAGAGAGGUUACUGAGCACCCACAGCCAGUUCUGCACAGAGUUUGUUUGUUCAGGCUCCAGUUCCGUUCUUUUCUCUUGCAAAUCCUGAGGAAGAGAAGUCAGCCUGUGAGGCUGGCCUUUUAAACCUUUGUGUAUGUAUGUCACUGGAAUUCCCACCCCUCUGGGAGGAGAGCUGGGCCAGAAUAUGGAAGUGUCAGUUGGUGGGAGCAGAGUAGAGUAGGAACAGAGGGCCUCGAGUGACAAGAUGGCCCUAGAAGGAGGGUCUGGCUUCCCGCUUUGUGUCUAACUCCACUGGCGUAUGGGCGAACUCCAGAGCAAACAACUUCUCAUCCAUUCCUUUCUUUGUGACGUUCCACUUUCCUGAUUUUCUGCUAGAGUAUAGAAACCUGGUCCUUUCCAUUCCUCUCACUGAUUUCCUAGCAUGGUUAAAGACCCUCCCUUUUCUUUUUCAUAAAUGUCGUUUUGUGACGCUUUCCUAAGUGCAGCGAUGUUCACCUGUGAAGAGAGUUCUUGGAAGCAAUGAAAAUCUCAGAGCCACAUUCAGCUCUGACAGUGGUGGUGAUUAUCACGUUUCUUUUUCCUUUUUAGAGCGGAGAGGUGCUUUGUAAGUCUGAUUGCCUAUGCCCUGUAAAUAGUGUACAUUUAAUUUAUUGCUACGGUAACACGGUGUAUUGGUUAAUGUAUAAAACAAAUUCUAAAAGGUUCAC
ensembl:lncRNA